UCCCAUCCUUCCCACUCCGCCGCCACCAUCUCCCUCGGGAUCUCACCGGAGCCAACUAGUGCCCUCCACCGAUCUUCCAACCAGCCAAUCUCCUCCUCUCGACCCAUCCUCGCGGCCACCUUCAGAUCGACCAUGACCACUCAGGCUCGUCUCCCUCGCGCCAUGGCCGCCGACCACCCAAGCAAUAGCAGCAGUCUCGAGCAUCUCCGUCCCUGCCAGCCCUUGCCGGAGACCCACUAGAGCCCGCUGCUGUUGCAGGUGCCGAUGAUGCCAGUGCAGGUGACGCAACCGAGCUCAAGUGUGAGCUCGAUGAAGAUCUAGGUCGUUACUAUGUUUAGUUUCCUGAUGAUCAGUAGUGGAGCCCAGUCGGGACGAUCGGUGAUCUAGCAUUUGGGGUUGUCUUCCUUUAUUUUGGUUCUCUAGUCGGACCUUUGAUUGUACUCUGUAUGAUUUAUGCUUAACAUGUUAUUUGUGUGAAGUGGCGAUUGUAAGCCAACUCUU